GUUACAUCAUGCUUUAUUUUUAAAUAGGUAUUUUUUUAAUUUCUUCCAAUUUUACAUUGUAAUAUUUAUGAUUGAGGGAGAGUAAAUACAUGCCUGUACUGCACACCAUGACUAAGUCGAGAGUCAUAAGAAGUUUAGCCAGAAGAAAUAAACAAAAGAUUACAACUAAAAGAGUGCCGACCCUGUUUAAUGCUUUGUGUAACGAGAAGGACCUGAGAAAAAAUACCAAGAAGGCAGGGGUCUACAAACUACGGGUAAAGUUCCCUAACCAGAAUAAGGAAUCCACAUAUAUCGGUGUGACUAGUAGGACUCUUGGACAACGGCUCAAAGAGCACUGAAGUGAUAUCAAGGCAGGCAGAAUUAUGACGGCCCUAGCUGAACAAGCCUAUCUUAACGAUUUGCAUAUAGAAUGGAACUGUGCAGAAAUAAUAAAUA
rnacentral:lncRNA from 1 species